rnacentral:rRNA from 1 species
AGAUUGAACGCUGGCGGCAGGCCUAACACAUGCAAGUCGAGCGGUAGAGAGGUGCUUGCACCUCUUGAGAGCGGCGGACGGGUGAGUAAUGCCUAGGAAUCUGCCUAGUGGUGGGGGAUAACGUUCGGAAACGGACGCUAAUACCGCAUACGUCCUACGGGAGAAAGCGGGGGACCUUCGGGCCUCGCGCCAUUAGAUGAGCCUAGGUCGGAUUAGCUAGUUGGUGAGGUAAUGGCUCACCAAGGCGACGAUCCGUAACUGGUCUGAGAGGAUGAUCAGUCACACUGGAACUGAGACACGGUCCAGACUCCGUACGGGA